rnacentral:tRNA from 1 species
GGCCCGUUGGUCAAGCGGCUAAGACGCGGCCCUCUCACGGCUGAAACAGGAGUUCGAUUCUCCUACGGGUCAUCA